UUUUGUGCUAAGGUUUCUCCUGUUACUAUAUGGACAAUUAUUAAUGAAACACCCUGUAUAGUACCAGUACCAUAUUUUUCUUCUCAAGGUGAAAAGUCCGGCCCUGAAUAAAACAAAAAUUUUACGUGUUCUGUGGUCUGCGUCUGCGCAUCAUUAACCAAGCUAUAAAAUUGACAUUGACGUGAGAAGAAGCCAAAAUAAAAACGCUUUAAAAAUUAUUAUUCAAUAUUUUUAAAUCAUUCAAAUAAUUUGGGAAAAUAGUAUGAAAAUUAUGUAUAUCUCUUCUUACCAUCAGAUAAUGUUACGGAUAUGAAACUGAGAAAAGAUAAAAGACAUAAAGUUGCCUCCAAACGUUUUGAUGAUAGCUGGGAUUUAACUAUCCUUAAGAAAAAACGUAUUCAAAAGCCAACCAUAAAAAAA
rnacentral:lncRNA from 1 species